CAAAGCAUUGCAUCUUCUACUUACCUUGCAAAAGAGACCUAAUUAAAAACAAGAGUGAGAGAGAUGGAGGUCGGAACAGUUCUCUACCAACAAGAUGUAGAAGGAAUUCCGCAGCUAGCAACACUCAAAGGAGCGGUGGAAGUUCAAUUACCCAAUGGAGAUGCUGAUGUCGUUGCUAAAUGGGCUGUUUACGAAUACAAUAAGAAACAUGGUACUCACCUUGAGUUUGAGAGCACUUUGGCGGCGUAUAAGACGUCCGUUGCUUUGGGAGCCAUCUACGCCAUACUUUUGAAAGCAAAAGAUUGCGGUAAAAGCAAAGUUUAUUUUGCGGCAGUCCUCGUCACGCCCGUGAAGAAAUUUCUACUGCUCUUCGUUCAUAUCUACGGGUGACACUAAGGAAAACGAGCUUUGCUUGCAGAGUUGAUCAACAUAUUUAAGUAUGAAUAAGUGGUCUCUCCGUAGCCCUCGAAUGCUGAUGGUGCUUUAAGUAUGAAUAAGUGGCCUAUCCGUGGCCUUCUUAGUUUACCAUAUAUAUGAUCUCUUUCAUGUUGGCUUGGCUUGUAAUAUAUAUAAAUAAUUAUGGCUUCACCGAAACUUAUGUUAAAUGCCCGUGUGUAUGAAUAUUAGUAAUUAAAAUGUGUUUGUACUCUUUAA